GCGGUGGAGCCGCCAAACCUUCUUAUCUCAUCCUAGCAUUUUAGUCAUCAAAGAAACUCAUUUCUGAAGCCAAGUGGCAGCUUCGUGCACCGGCUGGAGCCCUGCAGCAGUGAGCGUGGCGGGGCGAGUUCUAGAGAACGGCCGGGCUAAGUGUGAGCCCCCUCGCGGAAGGACCGAGGUGGCGCAGCACAGACUCUGCGUCCGCUGCCGGGAGGACCGUGGACCGUCACCAGUGCUAAAUCUCUUCCACAAUAGCUGCGGCCCAAAAGCUAAUGAAUGUCAGAGGGCUAAAAAUACGGCCCCACCUCGCUGGCAGUUGAUGCGGGGGAGAAAAACGCCAGAAAACAUCGUGGUCAGCCAACGUGACCAGCCUCCGAGGAAAAGAACAAAGGCUGGAGGCCAGUUUCGACUCUUUCCUGACUAGACUUCAGCAAGAAACUUCAUAGCAAUUAAACUGAGGCAGAGGAAGAAUAGGUUACGCUGGCUUGUAGUGGAGACACCCUAAGUGCUUGUCCCCUAUCUAACAGCAGGGCUUUCUUUGGAUGGGGCUGUGUGAGGUCCUCUAAGACAUCAGCUAAGCUCCCUCCUAACUAAGAUUUUUGAGAUCCAUCAAUUUGGUCCUAAUGCUUUAGCCCCAUUUCCAAGGUGCCCUCCUCCAUACAGCCUCCUCUCUUCAGCCCACUCAAAGGCAGCCUUCUCCUUCUCUCUCCACUCCCACAAUUCUUUGCCUGCUCCUCGCAGCAUUCUCUUUUUCUGAGGCUUCCUUUUGGGUUUUUGUUAUUUCCCCUUCCCUGAAAGAGCUCUUUACGGGAUGGGACGGUGCCAUGAUGAACCUACUGUGCCUGGUUCCAGGCCUCCUCAACACUCUCUGCCGGUUAAGCACCAUCUUGCCUCCUGGUCCAUCCCUUUGAGUUCUGUGCGCCAGAGGCCACGUGCCUUACUAAGGAGAUGCCUGCUAUCCACACUGCCCCACUCACUGUGUUCCUGCUUUGAAAUAGGGUCAGUUCAGCAGGCUACGUCAUCAGCAGCAGCUUAGUCAUCACAUAAGGAAGUUCUGUGUGUGUCUGUGUGUGACAGAUAGACAGACAGACAGACAGAAAGAGACAGAGAGACCGAAACAGAGACACAGAGAGAGAAAGAAGAGAGACUUCGAAGUUUAUAAAGGACUUUGUCUACAUUAGCUUAUUGGAUUGUCACAACAUUUUUAUGAGGCUCACCGCUUAGACUCUCGGGGAGUCAUGAUAAUUUUCCUGUGAGCAUCUAACCUGUGAGGAUGGAGAGAAUAAACCCAGAGCUCACAGAGAAGACAUUCCCAUCACGAUGCUCUUCCCCAUCUCUAUGCAACAUAGUUAUUUAGCAUUUCCACCUCACCCAACCAAAAAAGUGAGUUUUCUGAAGAUGGACCAACACAUACCAAAUGAAUGUUUACUGAUUACUAGUAUUGGAUGUGUAUGUGGUGUGUCUGGGUGUAUGUGUAGACAUAUAUGUAGAGAUGCAUAAUGAUGCACAUCUAUAAUGUUUUAUUGUUUUCUAAAGUCCAAUUAUUCGUGGAAUUCUAUUUGGCAACAGAGGGAGGCGGGUAACUGCUCACAUCCAUCUCUAUUAGCAGGAAAGGUAGAGUGACUUACUUUGAAUUGCCGAAGAAGAAGGUCUUUCAAGGAGAAAUGAAGCCCUCUGGCCAGAAGAGAUCAUUUGCUCUCUAAUGUAUUGAUUACUUUGUCAAUCACUUCUUCUCCAGGCUCCCCUCUGACUGGGAGACUACCUAGAGUUUAGUCCAUAAAUCCUGAGGGUGGCAUGGCUCAAAAGUCUAAGUGAAAAGGAAUGGGUCCAUGCACAGAUUGGAAAGAAAACCCACAUGGACUGGGACUGUCCUCGAUGCCAAUGUUUGAUUCAUGGCACAAGUGUUAGAAUGGGCUCCGCUCCCUUGGCCAUUUCUCCCAUCCACUCUCCUUGGCCAAAGUGGCUCUGAUAGCCCAAGCGAUGAUGCUCAUUAUGGAGGCUGCAUGAUUUGGGGAGAGUGUUCAAACUUCUCCUGGUUAAUUAUUUUACCUGCUUCUAUUAACAUCUGGGGGAGACACAUUAGAACCAUGUCUGUACCCAAGACAAAAUGCCUGCAGCUGGGGCUAAAUUUUCCCCUCUGGGAAGUUCUCUCUCCUUCCACCCAAUUCAUUUUUGAAGGCUGACACCAAGCUGCCUAGCUAAGUUUCAGAAGAAAUAUCUACAUUCAAAGCCAGCAGCCAUAUUCCAUGUCCUGAAAUGAUCUUCAUGCCGGGGACGCCAUAUCCAUAGAUCUAGUCUUUGGUAAUUCUAGCCAGCUCUUACAAUAAUAAUAAGUGCUGCCGUAGAUUUUAUUAAUGGCGCUAAGACGUUGCAUGAUUACUCAUAAAGCAGCCUGGGGGGGAAGGACCAAAAAUAGCUUGUUGAAGAAGGGAAAGUGGAAAACUCCUGCCCAAUGAAUAGACUGAUAAUGGAACAUGGAGGCACACGGGCUGCUUGACUCAUUACUCAAGGACAGUGGCCUCCACCAAGAAACUGAAUCCCAUUUGCCUGUUCCUCUGUAUCAACCAUGCAGGCGCUCAGAUCUUAUCGAGCAUCUUCCCAUCACUUUAAUGACCAAAAUGUUCUUUGCUUGUGUCCUGAGGCUUUGACAUAAGGGCCAGCCUUUUCAGAAAUCGAAUGGAUCAUUGCAAAGAGGACUUGCAGGUUUCUACUGGCUUGUUCAAGACAAACACACACGUUUUAUUUAAGUAUAUAUGUGUGUGUUCAUCUAUGUGCAUAUAUGUCAUAUGUAUUUGUUCAUAUAAAUAUAUAGGCAUAUUAUAUAUCUAUGGGCUUACUCUGUGGUUCAAUUAGAAUGCUUUUCUCAAUAGAUCCGCCCAUGUUGGUUCUCCAGUAAAAAAGCUUUUCUCUCCUUUUCCCAUAAUGCCUUCCUGAUCUUCUGAAAGUGUUCCGUAUAAAAGUUAUUGAUAAUAAAUUCUCUGAUCUAUA